AUGGCUGGAAUAUAUCUGGCCAAAAGCUGUCUGCACAUCACUCUUCUGCCCCUGCAGCACAGUACAGCAGCUGCUCACCUCACGUGGCAGCUCUGCACUUUCCCUGAGGCAAUGAAAAAUACUCAGAAGAAAAGAAGGCAGCUUUACCAGCGGAAGGAAGAGCUGAGGAGUUGCUCUGGGCACAGCCUGGAUCCCACUGUGAAUGCAGCAGAGAUAGAGCAGCAGACAAGAAUCACUCCACUUGUUUGCACUAGUGCAGCCACAGCAAAGAUAAAAGUCCCAGUGUUACAGCUUUUACCCAGGUUGCUGAAUUGUCGGCAUAUUUGGAAGAGAUGGAUGUCUCCAGUGACAUAUGGAUGUGCUGCACACAUUGCCUGUGCCCUGUGUAAGGCUGAGUGCUCAGAAGAAGCCCAGACAGCUUCCUUGCCCUGCCUGGCUCAGGAAACGUGGACACAGAGCCAUGAGGAAUGA
rnacentral:lncRNA from 1 species